rnacentral:rRNA from 1 species
UACGAAGGGUGCAAGCGUUACUCGGAAUUACUGGGCGUAAAGCGUGUGUAGGCGGCUACGUAAGUCGGAUGUGAAAGCCCCGGGCUUAACCCGGGAAGUGCACUCGAUACUGCGUAGCUUGAGUAUCGGAGAGGUUGGUGGAAUUCUCGGUGUAGAGGUGAAAUUCGUAGAUAUCGAGAGGAACACCGGUGGCGAAGGCGGCCAACUGGACGAAUACUGACGCUGAGACACGAAAGCGUGGGGAGCAAACAGG